CGUGCGCACGCGCCGAAUUCCGCAAGGAAACCGGGGAACCACCAAUUGGGGUGAAUCGGGCGCCUGUUGCUGCCUCGUGCGGCGAGAAGCGCUCGUAGGAGACCUUCCUGCUCCGAACCCGUCAGCUAACCCGGUAGGCGAGAAGGAAGGAAAGG
rnacentral:sRNA from 2 species